AUUGAACGCUGGCGGAGUGCUUUACACAUGCAAGUCGAACGGUAGAGGGGGCAACCCCUCGAGAGUGGCGAACGGGUGAGUAAUAUAUCGGAACGUGCCCAGUCGUGGGGGAUAACGUAGCGAAAGUUACGCUAAUACCGCAUACGAUCUAAGGAUGAAAGCGGGGGAUCGCAAGACCUCGCGCGAUUGGAGCGGCCGAUAUCAGAUUAGGUAGUUGGUGGGGUAAAGGCUCACCAAGCCGACGAUCUGUAGCUGGUCUGAGAGGACGACCAGCCACGAUGGAACUGAGCCACGGUCCAGACUCCUACGGGAGGCAGCAGUGGGGAAUUUUGGACAAGGGACGCAAGUCGGAUCCAGCCAUGCCGCGUGCAGGAUGAAGGCCCUCGGGUUGUAAACUGCUUUUGUACGGAACGAAAAGGUCUCUCUUAAUACGGGGGACUCAUGACGGUACCGUAAGAAUAAGCACCGGCUAACUACGUGCCAGCAGCCGCCGUAACAC
rnacentral:rRNA from 1 species